UGGGGUAUGCAGCUGUGCAUGGCUAUAUCUCAGAGCCAUUCUUCUGGACUGUGUUGGUGUGUUUGUAUGGAUAUUCGCGGUUGUUAAAGAAGAGAGACCAUGUGACCUUGGCGCUACCUUGUGCAGCUGUUCUGGCAGGAGUUGGGGAACCUUGGGUGAGAGUUGUGGCAAUCACAGGGUAUUUAGCUCUAGCCAUGUAUCACAAUUCAACUAAGAUCUCAUCUGAAGAAGAUAGACAGAGCUUAGGGAAUCAGCCACCAGUGCCGUUGUUGGCCGCGGCCUUGGCCAUUGGCGUCCGGCUUGCUGCAAAAUGGGCUGGUUACAGGCACUUGACUUGGAUGAUUGUUUGAUUUCUCUGCUUCAAAUUUUGUGAAACAAAAAAAAAAACCAACAAAACUAUUUUUUUCCUCAAAUAGUUAUAUUGAUAAUCAACAACAACACCAACACAGGUUUCAAAAGAAACAAAAAAAAACACAAAAAAUGUCUAAAACCCAAUUCAAUCAGAGACCAACAAAAUUACUGUACACUAAAGUUUAGUGAGAAUUCCUAGAGAGAGCCAAGGAAGAAGCCUUGGGUGAGAUAUGGCUCACCGUUAAUAACUUAAUCGAAAAGAUAGAAACAGUGGCUAACGUACAGCAUACGGCCGGAUGCUGGCAAAAACCUCUGGCCAAUACUUUGAAGUGUAACAUAGGAGCUUCUUGGUCAUCUUCAGACCAGUCAUGUGGAGUAUCUUGGUUAGUUCGUGAUUCACUGGGGUAAAACUUUGCUACAUGGAAGACGCUCCUUUGUGUAUGUGCGGUCUUUACACGAAGCUGAAAUGCUCGGUCUGUUUUGGGUAACACAGUCUAUGGCUAAUAUGAAGCUGGACAGAAUUGUGUUCAAGGCCUCUUUCGAGAAGGCACGAGAGGUAAUGCUCAACCCUAGUAUUGAGACCCUAUUUCCAGAGUUACGUAAGGGACAUACAAAGGAAUAUGGCUAGAAUCCGGUUUUGGUCUCUAGAACAUACAUAUCUAUCAAUGGAAAUAGCAACCAGUGUAACAAGAGAUAGCAGGCCUCAAUCGUACAUUGCUUCUAAAGGUCCAUUUUGGCUGGCAAACUUACUGGACAAGGAAGCUCGAGAAGGAGGAAUCUAGAGGAUGCGAGCUGCUGAAGUGUCGACAAAGGAUGAAUGUUAAAAAUAAUCAGUUUACCAAUUUAACAUCCCUGUUGUCGUUUUGAUUAUCUUUCUGCUCUUUUGAGCUCUUAUACCACCUAUGACCUAUCGGUGGGUUCUUUUUCUUAUCUCCGCAUUUGUAUUUCUGAUAAACAAAUGCACUUGCAUUGAAUUGUAGCAAUUGAAAGUUCAGUGUUAGAAAAAAGAGAGAGGUAAUUUGGAAAUAGUUGCUACACUUAUGGGCUCUUAAUUAAGGCCCAAGGUAUAAAACUGAGGUCCAUUUACGUUAAACUGCAUUUUAUAUAGGGUUUCGACAGAAGCCUUUGACAGAAACCCUAUAUAAUAAAGUCACCUUCUUCUGCAAACUUAUCUCUCAUCGUCAGCUUCUAUUUUUCAUUUCUGUAUCUUGUUUUGAUUCCCGUCAUGCAUUCCUGCCAUCAGCUUCUCCUCUCUCCCCCGUGUUUCUCAUCCUAAUGGUGUUAAUAAGCUUACACUUGCUCCACCACAGUUUUGUAAUGCCGGCGCGAGCCUCCGUGGUCAGUUCCCGAGUGUGAGACUUAGGGUUUCGACGAGGUGCGAGAAAGAAGAUGCACAGAAGGGUGAGGUAGAGGAUGAGGCGGAGCGAUUCGCGAGGCGUGAGAGCACGAUGCCUGAUAGAUUCAGAUACUUGACCAAAGAAGCUCAAGACAGUCCUAUUAGAUGGCCUUGGUUCGUCGGUACGACACCGUUUUAGACUACUGGUUCACUAAUUUUGGUUCUUACAUAACUGAUUGAUAAUGUUUCUGUUAGCAUUUGAACUUGUUAGUUUAGUGGUUUCAGGCAUCAUGAGUAGUUGCGUAGUUGGAUUAGGGGAAGAGCAUAUAUUGUCUUUGGUUACAUGAUGCUGUCUUAUGUUGCAGCGUUAGCGUUUCUUGUGUAUGCGUGGAGAGCAGUCUUGUUUGAACUAUCCAACUGGAGAAAAGCUGUUUUCGCCAUCGGUGGAUUACUUGGAGACCUUUCCAAGUUCGCGUUGGCCCUCGUCUUCCACUUUAUAGGCGAUCCCAUCACUUCUCUCAUCUCUCUUGUUGAGACUGCAAUCUACAGCGUCCGGGGGUUUUACUCCGGGAUUGUUGCGUACACACCUGUGAGAGAGUUAACCACGGUGAUCCUUCUUGCAUCCUCUGUGCUUGCAAUAGGAGAAACAGUUGCUCCAAACUCUAUCAGCAAGCAGCCGUAUUUAGUUACUCUUGCUGGUCUCUUGGGGUAUGCAGCUGUGCAUGGCUAUAUCUCAGAGCCAUUCUUCUGGACUGUGUUGGUGUGUUUGUAUGGAUAUUCGCGGUUGUUAAAGAAGAGAGACCAUGUGACCUUGGCGCUACCUUGUGCAGCUGUUCUGGCAGGAGUUGGGGAACCUUGGGUGAGAGUUGUGGCAAUCACAGGGUAUUUAGCUCUAGCCAUGUAUCACAAUUCAACUAAGAUCUCAUCUGAAGAAGAUAGACAGAGCUUAGGGAAUCAGCCACCAGUGCCGUUGUUGGC
rnacentral:lncRNA from 1 species